rnacentral:lncRNA from 1 species
ACAAUUGGACUUUCGUACAUCAUGAAAUCGUUCUUAGAGGUCGGGCAGAUUCAAUGGAAGUUGCAGCACUUGACUAUAUUCUCACUUUGAGAAGAGAAACGACGACAAGUUGAUCGCGACAAGUUCAAUCAGAAUCGUACGUGCCAAUAUUAUUUCAUAAAGUGUCUCGAAAAUAUUUAUUCACAAAUCUAUGGCAAUGGAAUAAUUGGAGAUUUUAUACGACUGAUUGUAUAAACAAUUGUUUGACAAAGGUACAAGACAUGACGCUAUAAUGUUUUUGUGGUUGCACAACACAGCUAGCAACUAUAUUUCAUUCGAGUUAAUUUUUACCCGACUUGUACGACACCGCUAGAUGGUACCAGGUGGUACGUUCAGUUGCGUUUCAACGAGUUUAGAGGACCAUCCGGCUGUUGUAAUUUCAAAGUCUUCGUUACCAACCGCCACUGUUCCCACUGACAAAUCGAAGUUAUCGAAGCAACGUGGGACAAAGUACUUUUAAUUCUUAAAAUAAUAUGGUUCGCACAAUGACAAGUCGAAGGAUACCAAUGACGAUCGAAUCAAGGCCUGUGCCUGGCGUUCUUGUGGAAAAUUCACUGGGGAAUUAGCACGGCCGACAACGCUUGGCACUGUCGUUGAAUUGUUGAAAUUUGCAAUGGUGGUCCUCACAGACGUCCGAGCUUACUGGCGCAAUUUGCCGAGUCGCUUUCGCUUGGCAUCUGAAUGCGAGAGGAGACUGCAGUCCUCCAGGAUUGCCGAAUCACUGCGGAGUCGUUGUUUCUCUUCCCAGCCGUUUGUCUCGCUCGCUAUAUGCACGUGAUUACGUGCUCAUACACGAGGCUGAGUACAUGUGGAGGAGAACCCUAGCCAGGUGAUAUCAGCAAAAUGGACAGUCGGGACCGUUCGAUUAAGUAUUCCUUUCUCGCGAUUCGCGAGAAAGAAAAGCAGAGAUAUUACGUAUUAUCCCCCUCUAAGCUUCUUCUCCUCCCUUUCCUUCGCGUUAACUUUCGUCUUUUUCGCGCGUAACGUAAUGAGAUUAUCUCUUUUUAAAUUGAACUUUAAGCCGGGAGUAACUGUGUAAUAAUCGCGUUACUAUUUGAUUCGAGAUUAUCGUUCGAUCGAAUUUGAAAAUCUCUUCGCGGCAAUAAAAAGAAGGCAGAAGGUUCCCAAAUUUUCGUCAGUUGAAUUUUAAUGAUCUGCGAUCGGGUUUUCAAAGCUCGACUUAAUCAAGCGCGCUUGCUUGAUUUUACGCCGGAUGCAAAAUAAAUUUAAUUAAACUGUCGAUUGCGCGCGCCAAAUGUUUGUGUAAUCGUUCCUCCGUUGAAUUGAAUUUAUCUAGCUGUGAACUCGGCGGCGCGCUUGACAUUUUCCGCGAAAACAUUAAUGUUACAUUAAGGUUCUUGACACCGAAAAAACAAUCGCUCAGAGAUGCUCAGAGGUUGCUGCAUCAAUGGAUUACCAAUGGUCGCGCGACGACAAGAAUGACAAGAUGAAACUAGACGAGACGCGAGUUGAGUACCGCUGAUCGACGACGAUCGACGAUCGCGGUGAUGGCAAAGAAAUAUGUUUGUAUUAAAAUAUUCGCCGGAACAUAUAUUGACGGGGAUAUUUUCUUCUUUACCAGAGUUCCAGAGGCAAACACCUGAAUCAACAUCGUAUGAAGUACGCUUUCUCACGGCAGCAAUUCGCAUCUCGCUGAGGCCACUGUUGACUCUGACAGAUCUCUGACGCCCGAAAGAGCCGUCAGAGAGAACUCGAAAGUUUCGGGGAAGAUUCUACUUGCGAAACAAAGCUAACUUCUCACGCGCACGAAGACUAUUGAUAACGACUACGGCUACGGCUACGGCUACGACGACGAUGACGAAAUCUGGCACGCGUGCGAAAAUGACAAGUCGAUCGUGACAAAAUUUACAGAAAUAACUAUUCAAAGUCAUAAUUAACGGUAACGGGCAGUAUAAAUUCCCACUAAGGUUUGUAAGUUUGUAAAGUUGCACAAAAUUGUCAUUCGAUGUAUACUUUGCGCCAUCGAUAAGUUAAGAUAAA